CAAGUAUUCAAACAACUUGCCAAUAUAAUCUGGGAGGUAUGGUCCCAAAGUUUCUACCAAACGCCUUAUGCUCGUUUGACUAUUGGUUUUACGAUAGCUUUG
rnacentral:ncRNA from 2 species